UGAACGCUGGCGGCAUGCCUUACACAUGCAAGUCGAACGGCAGCGCGGACUUCGGUCUGGCGGCGAGUGGCGAACGGGUGAGUAAUACAUCGGAACGUACCCUGUUGUGGGGGAUAACUAGUCGAAAGAUUAGCUAAUACCGCAUACGACCUGAGGGUGAAAGUGGGGGACCGCAAGGCCUCACGCAGCAGGAGCGGCCGAUGUCUGAUUAGCUAGUUGGAGAGGUAACGGCUCACCAAGGCUACGAUAGGUAGGGGGCCUGAGAGGGUGGUCCCCCACACUGGUACUGAGACACGGACCAGACUCCUACGGGAGGCAGCAGUGAGGAAUAUUGGUCAAUGGGCGCAAGCCUGAACCAGCCAUGCCGCGUGCAGGAAGAAUGCCUUAUGGGUUGUAAACUGCUUUUAUUUGGGAAUAAACCCCUGGUCGAGCAUCAGGGCUGAAGGUACUAAAUGAAUAAGCACCGGCUAACUCCGUGCCAGCAG
rnacentral:rRNA from 1 species